rnacentral:rRNA from 1 species
CCUACGGGUGGCAGCAGUGAGGAAUAUUGGUCAAUGGCCGAGAGGCUGAACCAGCCAAGUCGCGUGAGGGAUGACGGCCCUACGGGUUGUAAACCUCUUUUGUCGGGGAGCAAAGAGAGUCACGUGUGGCUCAUUGAGAGUACCCGAAGAAAAAGCAUCGGCUAACUCCGUGCCAGCAGCCGCGGUAAUACGGAGGAUGCGAGCGUUAUCCGGAUUUAUUGGGUUUAAAGGGUGCGCAGGCGGACGGUCAAGUCAGUUGUCAAAGUUGGGGGCUCAACCCCGUUACUGCCGUUGAAACUGGGUCCCUUGAGUGCGCGAGAGGUAUGCGGAAUGCGUGGUGUAGCGGUGAAAUGCAUAGAUAUCACGAAGAACUCCGAUUGCGAAGGCAGCAUACUGGCGCGCAACUGACGCUGAUGCACGAAAGCGUGGGUAUCGAACAGGAUUAGAUACCCGAGUAGUC